UGGAAAACCACACCCUUUUUUAACACAGCCUCUUAUGGGAUUAUUGUUUAUAGUGGAAUUAUUUCUAAAGUGGUUAGUGAUAGAAAAUAACUAGACAUAAGGUUAUAAACUAGAUUUUUCAGAUGUCGUCUGCUGUUGUUUAUAGUGUUAACAACAAAAACAAUAUUGACAUGGUUGAUUUACCCAAGCAGGCAGUAUUAUUUCAACGCACUGCGACUUUAUAGGAGGCCAUGUAGGUGCUGUUAAUGAAGAAGUAACCCGUAUAAACAAACUGCUGCUAAAAUAACCCUGCCUGCUUGGUUAAAUAGACCAUGGUCUUAGUCGUGGUAGAAAAAAUGCCAUGAAAUGACGAACUUUUACAACACAAAUUUGUGUUAGCCAAUUUCAAACACUUGAAAUCUAAAUAUAAUUAAGUUAAGUUAGUAAGGAAGCGGCAGCACGACAAACCAGAAAAAAACACGUAUCUGAACUACCCUCGAACCUGGGUUAAAAUCCAUAUUACAGCAAACGCCAUCUAUUGAGAAAAAUAUCGGAAAAAUCGGCAUCGGUGGUGUAGUAUAGUGUAGUACACAUGAGGUCAUUUUGA